CGUUGAUCUCGGAUUAGGUAGGAUUACCCGCUGAACUUAAGCAUAUCCAUAUGCGGAGGAAU
rnacentral:rRNA from 1 species